UGGGGAAUUUUGCACAAUGGGGGAAACCCUGAUGCAGCGACGCCGCGUGAUUUAGAAGGCCUUCGGGUUGUAAAAAUCUUUUCUAUGGGAAGAAAAUGACAGUACCAUAGGAAUAAGGACCGGCUAAUUACGUGCCAGCAGCCGCGGUAAUACGUAAGGUCCGAGCGUUGUCCGGAAUCAUUGGGCGUAAAGGGUACGUAGGCGGGUAAGCAAGUUAGAAGUGAAAUCCUAUAGCUCAACUAUAGUAAGCUUUUAAAACUGCUCAUCUUGAGGUAUGGAAGGGAAAGUGGAAUUCCUAGUGUAGCGGUGAAAUGCGCAGAUAUUAGGAUGAAUACCGGUGGCGAAGGCGACUUUCUGGACUUUUUCUGACGCUGAGGUACGAAAGCGUGGGGAGCAAACAGG
rnacentral:rRNA from 1 species